GUUUGACCUCGGAUCAUGUAUGGAUACCCGCUUAA
rnacentral:rRNA from 1 species